GCCACAGACUCCCCUUUCUCAACACAGCCAUGUUUUGGUUGUCAGAGGACAUACUUAGGGUCACAUAACCAGUGCCUUAGUAUGUCAUGAGGCACCUCCCUACCAAACUGCUGUGUUCCUUUGGUAGAAUCCACAUCAGUUGUGACACCAGCCAGCCAACAAAGGCAGGCAGGGGCUGCAGCACCAGUCAGCCAGCACGGGCAGGGACCAUGACACUAGCCAACACUACCAAGGCAAGGCAAGGGCUGUGAUUCCAGUGAGCCAGCCCUGCCAAGGCAAGCCAAGACAGGCAGGGGCUGCGACACCAGCCAAGGGAAGGUGAACUUCACCAUAAGAAGACAAUAUGCAAACAAUGGGUGGAGUAUGUACGUAGCCAAACUGGUACAAAUUCCUUCAACAUGAGACAAAAAAAAAAAAAAAA